GCCUCACCAGCCAUGCAGAACUGUGAGUCAAUUAAACCUCUUUUCUUUAUAGGCUACUAAUAAUUGGAUUCAGUUUGACUUAUUUAUUUAAUAUUCACUCUGUUCUCUUUUUCAGGCACAAGUACCAGUGAGACCUGGGGAUCUUCAUUUGAUUUUGUCUACUGGGUGAGGCUGUGUUGAAAACACUUUGACAGAGGGCUCUUCUCUUGGGGCUCAUCAAAUAUUGCUGGUAGAGGGUUUGCUUGCUUUAAAUAUUCCUUUCCUCAGGUAACGAAGAAUACCAUGUAAUUUGUAAUGAUAACUUGGAUAAUGAAUGCACACUGUAGUCAGCCAUUUGUGAGGGUGUUGUUAAAGGAGAUUAACAUUUGAGUCAGUGGGCUGGAAAAGGCUGACCCACCCUCGAACUGGGUGGGCAUCACCUAAUCAGCUGCUAGUGCAGCUAGACUAUAAAGUAGACAAAAAAACGUGAAAAGACUGGACUGACCCAGCCUCCCAACCCACUUUUGCUUAGUUACAUUCUUAAAACUCCCAAUCAUAAACAAGAAAUACAUGUAAUUAAAAUUUAGAUAAUAAUAUUUAAGACGGUUGUUAUAAAGAACAACUAUAUUACAUAAAAUAUUAAAUUAUACAUUAUUAGAUAAAUACAUUUUUAUUAUGUCAAUCAGGAUUUAGAUUUAUCACUAUUACCUACUCAAAAAUAUAUUUGCUUUUAUUUAUGUUUACACAAACCAGUUGCUUUUAUCACUUUAUCUAAAAUAAAAUUAUUUUGUGGAAUUUUGGAAACUUACGUGUUCAUCUAUGUCCCUGAAUCCUGAUUAUUGAAUGCAUUUAGUGAAAAGAAGCUCAUUAUGGCAUGGGAGGGCUUACUCCAUCUUAAUAACCCAUCAGUGCCUUCUUUUGUUUCUUUUUUCUUAAGAAAAAUAAAUUUUAAUAUAAAAUAUCUUGAAAAAAUAUGCUUUUUCUUUGGAAAAUUAUUAUAUUUCAGCAUUUUUCUCAUGUGAAUACAGGCAUUCUUUGACACUGGUAAUGUUAAGAUCUACUUUACCAUAAAUACACAACUGCCCUUACUUUAAUUUGAAUUGUCCAAUAAAAUUGAAUUUCCUAUUUUGAUUAUAUCUCAUGCAUAACGUUUUUCCAUAGCCAUGCCCGCAGAGCAAUGUGACCCUAUUCAUCUUAUGAUUUUAGACUAAAAAAACUUUGCUGCAGAUCAAUUAUUUUUUCUUAAGAGAGUUUAUUAACACUUCUCCUCCACCUCUUCCUCCUCCUUCUUCUCCUUUUUCUCCUCCUUCUUUUUCUUUCUUCAUCUUGUUCUUAACCAAUAUCAGACCCUCAUCUUUUAUGUUGCCUGUGUUCACUCUGAGCAUGGUGAUACUGGGUUUGGGAUACAGACACACUAGGUAUAGAGAAGAGUAAUGGUGAAAUUAUAGAACAAUUCUAGAAAAGGAAACCCUGGGAAUUAAGCUAUUAAUGUCAGAGCUGGGCUUUAAUUUUUGACAUCAUUUGUUCAUUUAAUUAAACACAUGUACCUUUGUUCUAUAAUCCCUAGUAUUACCAUAAUAAAAUAUAAUAAAAGGCCUAUGAGUUCUAUACAAAUUUUCCUUAUAUCAUCAACACAUAUAAUUAGGAAUGGUCCCAAAGACAACAGAAGAGGGGCUACACAUGGGGAAAAAAACAAAAACAAAAACAAAAACAAAACAACAGUGUUAGAGGAAUGGACCCAGGGAGGUCCUCACUUGGUUUCAGCAUGAGUACAUUGUGGUAGGCCGUGCUCUAUAAAGACUUUGUGAGCCUAUGUUUUUGUCAGUAGAAUAUGUAUUUUUUACAUUUCUACUUCAAAACAAAAUCAUAGGCAUUGGGCUGCCAGGCAAAUGUUUGAUGUCUAUGACAUCCAAACUAUACACCUGACCACUAAUUUUUGCCCAGGUGGCAUUGGUAUCUCCUUGGUUUUAACCACUUAAACUAGCAAAAUAAAAAAAAUUUUUAAAAAAAGAAAAGUGUAUUGUUCAUUGUUUAAUACUGAGAGUGAAGUUUAGUUGUUUAUUUAUUUUCUUUUCCUUUUUGGGAGGUGGGGUCUAUUGCAGAUUUUCACAUCUUUCUCUCACUGUCCUCACA
rnacentral:lncRNA from 1 species